AUAGACAAAACUGCAUACAGCUGAUUUAUCUAAUGUUAAGUUUGUUAACAGAUACUUUUUUUUAAUUUGAAAAUGUAUUUGUAAAUGUAAAUAUAAAAUUUUACAACUUUUGAUUUGAAAUUUAUUACUGAAUGUAAAAAUUAACAUUAACAAAGAUUAAUAAAUGCAGCUGAAGCAUGCAUGUUAACUGAUGUACAAAAAUAAUGUUAAUAAUGAAACCUUAUUGUAAAGUGUAAGCACGAAAGCACACUUUUCAGAAAAUCCACUGGUGAUAAUAUAAACAAAUCUACUAUAUAGUCCCAAUAGUAUGUAAAAUGCCAUUUAUUUUGUACAUCUGAAAUUUCUACGACUCGUUACUCUCAAAUGUUCUGUUAGAUCAGAACAUAAUGGUAGUUAUGAUAUGGGCCGAGGGAAAUAUAAGCAGUCUGGGAACAGCCUGUGUGUGAGUUGCUCUUGAGUAAUGCAUCCUGACAUCAUCCAUUAUUACUGUAGGUGAAGCUGGACAUCUUUGGCCAGUGGAGACGGAGCUGUGUUAGGUUUCCAUUACCUGCCCGGUGUCAGCUUACUGCAGAAACAACGUCCAGGUGAGCAGCACGCACUAGUUCAUGCACCAGAAAAUUUAAUAGAAAUUCAAACUGAUUUAGAAAGAAAGAAGGAAAGAAGGAAAGAAGGAAAGAAAGAAAGAAAGAAAGAAAGAAAGAGAGACUGGCAAAUUAAACUAGGACGAAAGAUGAUUCCCAUGCCCUGGAGACAGUCUGAAAGCACUGAUUGACAAUAACAGAGAUGAAACAGAAAUAGGAACGAGAGACUGAGAAAAAAAUGAGCUUGUUCCAAAAUCUAGUGAGCCUCCUAUAUAGACUAGACAGCAGAAUAUGCAGUGCCCUAUGCAGUGACUAGCUCGGUCACAAAAACUGGUGGAGAAUGCGGGAAAAAUUAUAAUUAUAAUCCAUUCAGUGGCCAAAUAUAUUUCGAUAAAAACAGCGGACCAUUUUAACCAAUAUGUGUGCAUGCUACAUAUUUUUAAGUAUAGUGCUUUGUUAGCUUCGCAAUAUUCUAAUAUGAAACACUACACUGUAAAAACAAAAGUUAUAAAUAACGCAUAUUAUUGAUCCUUUACAUUACUUACAUUUAAGUAUGCUUUACAACAAAAGAAUAUUCCAGUUUUUUCCUUAAAUAUUUCAUGUUUAAUUCAAUGUUUUUUCAAUAAUUUUUACACACAUUUUUUCCCAGUGUAUCUCAAGUCGGAUCUCUUGUGCACUUUGUAUAUUUGUUGCUGUCUAUGUACUUUGUUUGAAAUCAAUCACUUAAAAGGUUUCUUUUCAGUUAGCAUGCUGCCUUAGAAGGUAACUACCUAUGUAGGGCAGCUCACUAGAUUUCCAACACACCCUUAGAAAGUGAGAGAAAUGUAAACAUUAAUAAUUUAAGACUGUUAAAGAAAAGAAGCAUGAGAAAAGAGAAAGCAAGCAAGUAGAGGAUGUAAACAUAACAUUAACAAGAUUAAAACGGUUAAACAGAGAAAGACAGACUGUAGACAGACAUGAGACGAGAGAGGUAUAGAUCAUGUAAACAUUAAGAAAGACUUCCAGAGAGAAGAGUAGAGAAAGAGAAAGAGAGAAAGAUUGUGUUGCAAAGGUCGCCAGAGUGGUAAAAUGAUGCCAGUGAGAGGGUGGCCUUGGAAAACUAAGAGUGCAAACAGGACAGCGAAUCAAAACCCAUAAUACUCUCACUCCGCUGCCGUGUCUGACCAAUCAGCAAGCGGAAUGUCAGUAAGGUCACAGCACCAAAGGGAGAAACACACACGAACACGACCAACCGCAUGCGAAGCAUUCCCGCAAACCAACUCAAACAUGAGGUAAGAGUUUUAAUCAUUUUGUGUUAUUUCUAAAUAAAUAAAAUAUGAUUCCAUUGCA
ensembl:lncRNA